AACGUAGGACACAAGCGUUAUCCGGAGUUACUGGGCGUAAAGGGCGUUUAGGCGGGUGAUUAAGUUCGCUAUGAAAGCGCCAGGCUAAACCUGGCGAGGCUGGCGGAUACUGGUCAUCUGGAGUGAGCCAGAGGAAGGUAGAAUUCCGCGUGUAGUGGUGAAAUGCGUAGAGAUGCGGAGGAAUACCAGUGGCGAAGGCGGCCUUCUGGGACUCAACUGACGCUGAAGCGCGAAAGCAUGGGGAGCGAACGGG
rnacentral:rRNA from 1 species